rnacentral:tRNA from 1 species
UCCCUAGCAGUCCAGUGGUUAGGACUCUGCGUUUCCACUGCAGGAGGCACAGGUUUGAUCCCUGGUCAGAGAA